AAACAUGCAAGAGAAUACAGCUAUAGUUACUCUGGACUGCCAUGAUAGAAACAUUGAAACAGAUAUUGACUGGCUUUAGGUUUUUAUUGGUGUUGCAAACGAUGAAACGAUCACUAAAUUCUGUGCCUAUGUGAGAUUUGUUGGUUCAUCGAAUAACAUCAAACUUACAGUAAGGUAAACGGUCAAGCAAAGUGUGCAAGGUCGUUGAUGGAGUAUUCCAUGUGAAAUCCUCUCACCAGUCUGAGCCCCACCAACUGAACAUCAGAGGACCAACUUGCACCUGCAGAAACUUCAGCAGGACUCACAUCCCCUGCAGACAUAUUUUUCAAUCUAUCGAUGAUGGUUUAAUGAAAUGGGAGGACCAACCUGAAGAUUACAGAAACAUACCGUUCUUCGUAAAAGAUAAAGGAAGUGAUAUUGGGAUAUGGCCAGCUGAUGCAGAUGUAAACAAAUGCUGCGAUUAUCCAGCAUCAGAAGACGAGGAUGAAGAAGUAGAAGAUGAUGAGGUUGGAGGAAAUGGGGAUAAAAGAAAGAAGAAACG